UGACGAUCCUACUGAGAGGCGUGUAAGCUUGGAGCGCCUCCUUCAGGGCAAAAAUAAAGACAAGAUUAGCACAUUUGUUUGUUUAUUUGUGAAUAUAAUAUCAGCGUUUUUAUAAGUGGAAUGAAUGCCGAUACAUAUGUAUAUAAGGCCAAUAUUGGCCGAAAAUAUGGCUAAACUGAUUUAUUGUUUGGCCUCUAGUGGUCAUAGUGCUGUAGUGGGCUGGGAUUGGGAGAUCAUGAGGGACUCUCAGUGAGAAGAGGAGACUGGCGUAACCAUGGUUGCACUUGCAACCACUUAACACUGUCACUCACACUAUCAUCAACUCUGGUAUUCACAUCACACCGCAAUGCUAGAAAUGCAGUCUAGAGGGGGAAACAUCGAUUACAUGAGAGAGGGAGAGAGAGCCAACAAACCAAAAAGAAAGAUGGACAGCGAGAAAGCAACAGAAGCAGAAUACCUCUGUUAGUAAGAGACUGUGCUUGUAUUGUUCUCUGUAUCAAUGAUCUACAGAAGAGAGUUCUGACUCUCUACCGUGUGUCCUAAAUGGCACCAUAUUCCCCAUAGUGCACUACAUUUAAAAAGUAGUGCACUAGGGAAUAGGGUUCCAUUUGAGAUGCCUCCUAGGUUGUCCUCAAGGGAUUGGCUAUUGGCUGUGUGUGAUCAGUCAGUCAGACCAGGUAGGUAGGCUAGAGACUCGAGAGGUACGGAGGCUAGAGGCUAGGUGUGGUCAGUCAGUCAGACCAGGUAGAUAGGCUAGAGGCUAGAGAGGUACGGAGGCUAGAGGCUAGGUGAGGUCAGUCACUCAGACCAGGUAGAUUGGCUAGAGACUAGAGAGGUACGGAGGCUAGAGGCUAGGUGUGGUCAGUCAGUCAGACCAGGUAGAUAGGCUAGAGAGGUACAGGGAGGCUAGAAGCUGUGUGUGGUCAGUCAGACCAGGUAGGUCAGGCCUGGGCAAUUAUUUUCCAUGGAGGGCCACAUUAGAAUAUAUUUUUGCCAUUGCGGGCGAGAAUCAUACUACAGGAUUAUACAUCAUGUGUAUGACUGUGUUGACAGAUAUAUCUACUGUAAAUCACGUCCAGAUAUGCUACUUAUUUUACUUUUUUAACAUGCACAGAAAUAAACCACAUCCAUGUUCUCCUUUUGGGAGUCAUUAUUAAACAUGCAAUGAACUACACGGAGGGAAAGUGCACUGCACUUUCAGCACCAUGGACAGAACUCUUGUUAGCGGGUAUGCACAAAAACACAAGAGAGAGCUUAAAGUUACAUUUAAACUACUCAAUCAGUGUGAGGAGUGAAGUCUCUGAUUGGCAUUGACUAGAACAGUGAAGUCAGGUAUAGUUUCUGACGUCGCUAUGCGCAGGAUUGCUAAGAAGUGCGAGUCAGUAAGAGAUGAUUUGUGCCUUGACUUGUC
rnacentral:lncRNA from 1 species